AUACGAAGGGUGCAAGCGUUGUUCGGAUUUACUGGGCGUAAAGCGUCCGUAGGUGGUUUGUUAAGUCAGGGGUGAAAUCCAGGGGCCUAACCCCGGAACUGCCUUUGAUACUGGCAGGCUGGAGCGCGAUAGAGGAAGAUGGAAUAUCUGGUGUAGGGGUGAAAUCCGUAGAUAUCAGAUAGAACACCAAUGGCGAAGGCAGUCUUCUGGAUCGUUGCUGACACUGAGGGACGAAAGCGUGGGUAGCAAACAGAAUUAGAUACUCUGGUAGUCCACGCCCUAAACGAUGCAUGCUUGUUGUUGGUUUCCUUCGGGGAAUCAGUGACGAAGCUAACGCGUUAAGCAUGCCGCCUGGGGACUACGAUCGCAAGAUUAAAACUUAAAGGAAUUGACGGGG
rnacentral:rRNA from 1 species